rnacentral:misc_RNA from 1 species
GCUGAGAAGUGGCGGAAAGCACUAGCGAGAUUUUUGAGGCAGCCACAUUUUAUCGUAUGGGACAAUGGUGACCUGGUAACUCAUGAGGUCAUGGGUGGUCUAAAGAAUGUAUACGCCAUUGGAGCUGGUAUGGUAGCAGCUCUUACCAAUGAAAGUGCCACAAGCAAGUCAGUGUACUUCGCACAUUGUACAUCUGAGAUGAUAUUCAUUACACAUCUCCUGGCUGAAGGACCCGAGAAGCUU